rnacentral:rRNA from 1 species
GAUGAACGCUGGCGGCGUGCCUAACACAUGCAAGUCGAGCGGAGAAGUGCUGCUUGCAACAAUUCUUAGCGGCGGACGGGUGAGUAACACGUGGGUAACCUGCCCUAAACAAAGGGAUAACAAUGAGAAACCAUGUCUAAUACCGUAUAAGAUCACACUAUCGCAUGAUAGAGGAAGAGAAGAUUUAUCGGUUUAGGAGGGGCCGGCGUCUGAUUAGCUAGUGGGAGAGGUAACGGCUCACCAAGGCGACGAUGAGAAGCCGACCUGAGGGGGGGAUCGGCCAGGUUGGGACUGAGGCACGGCCCACUCUCCGACGGGAGGCAGCAGUGGGUUAUAUUGCACGAUGGAGGCAGCUCUGAUGCAGCAACGCCGCGUGAAGGAGGAAGGUUGUCGGAUCGUACACUUCGAUCUGCAGGAAAGAUAGAAGUGACGGUACCUGGAUAAGAAGCCCCGGCUAACUACGUG